AAACAAACUCUCAAAUGAGUAGGGCUAAAUAACCCUGAUUUUCCAUUUCCUCGAUUUUUUAAGAUUCUUUCUUGUUCUUGUUCUUGUGAUUUGUAGUUUCCGAAGACAGGAAGAG
rnacentral:ribozyme from 13 species